UGGGGAAUUUUGCACAAUGGGGGAAACCCUGAUGCAGCGACGCCGCGUGAUUUAGAAGGCCUUCGGGUUGUAAAAAUCUUUUCUAUGGGAAGAAAAUGACAGUACCAUAGGAAUAAGGACCGGCUAAUUACGUGCCAGCAGCCGCGGUAAUACGUAAGGUCCGAGCGUUGUCCGGAAUCAUUGGGCGUAAAGGGUACGUAGGCGGGUAAGCAAGUUAGAAGUGAAAUCCUAUAGCUCAACUAUAGUAAGCUUUUAAAACUGCUCAUCUUGGGGUAUGGAAGGGAAAGGGGAAUUCCUAGGGUAGCGGUGAAAUGCGCAGUUAUUAGGAGGAAUACCGGUGGCGAAGGCGACUUUCUGGCCAUAACCUGACGCUGAGGUACGAAAGCGUGGGUAGCAAACAGG
rnacentral:rRNA from 1 species